UACGUAGGGUGCAAGCGUUAUCCGGAAUUACUGGGCGUAAAGCGCGUGUAGGCGGCCUAGUGUGUCGGGCGUGAAAUCCCACGGCUCAACCGUGGAAGUGCACUCGAAACUGCAAGGCUGGAGUACUGGAGAGGAUGGUAGAAUGCUCGGUGUAGAGGUGAAAUUCGUAGAUAUCGAGCGGAAUACCGGUGGCGAAGGCGGCCAUCUGGACAGUCACUGACGCUGAGACGCGAAAGCGUGGGGGAGCAAACAGG
rnacentral:rRNA from 1 species